rnacentral:rRNA from 1 species
UACGGGAGGCAGCAGUGAGGAAUAUUGGUCAAUGGGCGCGAGCCUGAACCAGCCAAGUAGCGUGAAGGAUGACUGCCCUAUGGGUUGUAAACUUCUUUUAUACGGGAAUAACGGGUGCCACGCGUGGUGCCGUGCAUGUACCGUACGAAUAAGCAUCGGCUAAUUCCGUGCCAGCAGCCGCGGUAAU